GAGGUUGUCACCUUCAUAAAUUACCAGUUAAAGAAUCAUAAAUGAAGCGAUUAACAAAUACAGCUCCCAUGAUUCUUCUACAAGGAAGUCCCUGAAACUGAGCAGAUUCACUGGGCCCCUCCCUGCCACAGUAAACAGAGCUAAACUCCAAAGAAGACUCUAGGAAGAACAAAGGCUGCCAGGAAGACUCUGAGACUGGAACAGCUGCAUGGAAGAAGCAGAAACCAGUCCCAGCUGCUUGGAGGGGGUUUAGACCAGAGUCUCUUGAAAGGACACUCUCCACCUUGCUGAGCUGCCUACAGGCUGUGCCCGGUGCUCCAGGUUCCCAGUUUUAUGAACUGUCACCCAUGCUGGGGUGGGCCUUGGUGUAGCAGCUGUCUUUGAGUCAUUUCUGCUCUUGUAAGAAAUCUCUCACCCAUGCUUCUGUUAACUCCAAUAAAAUUAAUUUGUUCAC